UAUUAUAUCUUUUUCAAAUAUACCAUAAUAUCUAUGCAAAUUGAUGAUUUUCCAUUUGCAUAAGCAUCCUCCAAAACAGACUUUUACUUCUUUUUAAAGGCAUGUAUGAGAGGUUCUUUUUGGUACUAUAAAACAUAUCGAUCGAUGUAUGGCUAACUGAUAAUGGCCUAUAUGGAUUAUUAUGUGCAUAUCCAUUGUUAUAUAAUAAUAUAUGUAUAUAUGAGAAAUACUUAGGUUCACUUCCUAUGUGAAAUUUUAAAUCCACUUCUCCUCUAAUAACCAAUUAUAAUGCCACAUAAAUUAGUAAAUAAAAAAAUAUUAAAUUAAAAAAAGCUGAAAAAAAAAUUACGGCAAUUUUAACGACGAUAAUGAUGUCAGCUAAACCCUAAAUCUUAAACCCUAAAUUCUAAGUCUAAAUUCUAAAUCCAAAUCAUAUACCCUAAAUCCAAACUCUAUACCCUAAAACCCCAACCCUAAACCCAAACUCU
rnacentral:lncRNA from 1 species